UGUGACAUGCAUUGUAGGAUAAUCCUCAUGACACUCUACAGUGUGGUUGUACUUAGUGGCACUGCAGGAAUGGUUAUGAUGUUACGUAUGAUCUUCAAAACAAAUAGCCAAUCAAUGAUUGGUACAAUCAUCUUCAAUAUCAUAGUGCUGCACUCCAUCCUCCUGGUCAGCCUUCCAUUCCACCUCAGCUAUUAUGUCUUAGUCAUCUGGGAGCUUGGAUUUCUUCACCUGCCGAGUGGUUAGCAUCAUAUAUGGGCAUAUGUACUUUACUUUUGUUUUCUGUGUGGCCAUUGUCAUACUCUGAUUACUCAUUUAUGUUAAGAAACUCCAAAUGCAACAGUUACAAAACUACCAUGUAGUAGUUUUAAGCAUUAUUAUUUGGAUGGUGGGUUGCCUCAUUUUUGUCAAUUUUUUUUUUUUUUUUUUUACAGUAUGGCAUAGAUCCAAGUUACUCAGAACAACGAUGCUUUGAAUUCUGCAAAGAUCUUAACCACAGAGAAUUCAUUAUCAUGAACUACUCUGUGAUUGUCACUAUGGAUGACAAUGGUUGUGAUCCUCUUCCUGAUACAGACAGCUGUCAUCAUUCAACCGAUAAAAGCUCUUUGACCUGACAUGUGGACCCAUCAAGAGUAUAGACCCCAAAUCAAGAGUUUCUUCUUCCUUCUAGUAAUAGUUGUCUGUUUUGUACCCCACCAUGCAUUCUGGGUACACUUUAUUCAAAAUAAUUCAGAGAGAAAAUCUUCUAACUUAGUUCUUUAUAAUGAAAUUUAUGUUGCUUUAACGACUGUCUGUUGCCUGGAUAUGCUGUGUUUCUUAAGUGGGGUUAUACAUUAA
rnacentral:sRNA from 1 species